rnacentral:rRNA from 1 species
CCAAAAAUCUAGCCUAUAAUAAUUUAAUACCCACACCCUUCUAUGUUAACAAAAUAAAACAUUUUAACUUUCUAGUAGAGGCGAUCAAAAAAUACAUAAGCGCUUAAGAAACAGUACCGAAAGGGAAAAAUGAAAUAAAAGUGAAAUAAAUUUUAAGUCCACUAAAGCAGAGACUUAAACUCGUACCUUUUGCAUCAUGGUCCAGCCAGUUUAAACAAGCAAAACGAAAAUUUUAGUUUGCUUCCCCGAAACUAAGUGAGCUACUUCAAAACAGCUUAAUGAGCCAACCCGUCUCUGUGGCAAUAGAGUGGGAAGAUUUUCAAGUAGAAGUGAUAAGCCUAACGAACUUAGAGAUAGCUGGUUACUCAGAAAAAGAAUCUCAGUUCUGCCUUAAAUUCCCCCAAUGCCACAAAACAGACCUAAAGAUUUGAGAGUUAUUCAACUAAGGCACAGCUUAUUUGAAACAGGAUACAACCUAAACACCAGGGUGAACCAUUUAUUAUUAUAUUAAGUAGGCCUAAGAGCAGCCAUCUUUAAAAAAGCGUUAAAGCUUGAUCAAUUUUACUAUUAAAUACCAAAAAUUCACAAGAACCCCCAACCACUACUGAAUGACCCCAUAAAUAUAUGGAAGACAUUAUGCUGGAACUAGUAACAAGAAUUUAAUUCUCCAAAAUGCAAGCAUAAACCAAAAUGGAUCGACCAUUGGCCAUUAACGAAAAUGAGCAAAUUAUAGUAACACAACUAGAAAACUCUAUAAAUUACCUCGUUAACCUAACACCAGAGCAUUUCCGGAAAGAUUAAAAGGGGGGGAAGGAACUCGGCAAAUCUCAACCCCGCCUGUUUACCAAAAACAUCGCCUUUUGAUAAAUUAUAAAAGGUCCAGCCUGCCCAGUGACAAAAUUCAACGGCCGCAGUAUCCUAACUGCGCGAAGGUAGCGUAAUCACUUGUUCUUUAAAUAGGGACUAGUAUCAACGGCAUCACGAGGGUCGCACUGUCUCCUCCCCCUAAUCAGUGAAACUGAUCUCCCCGUGAAGAAGCGGGGAUAUCAUCAUAAGACGAGAAGACCCCAUGGAGCUUUAGACCUCAGCAACUCUGAUAUAUAAUCCACCACAGCUUACAGAAUCAUGCAUAAAGGUUUUAGGUUGGGGCGACCGCGGAGUAAAAACUAACCUCCACAACGAAAAGAGCUAAAUCUUUAUCUAAGAGCUACCCCUCUAAGAAUUAGUACACUAACGAACAAUGAUCCGAUAAUCGAUCAACGGACCAAGUUACCCUGGGGAUAACAGCGCAAUCUACUUCAAGAGCCCUUAUCGACAAGUAGGCUUACGACCUCGAUGUUGGAUCAGGGUAUCCUAGUGGUGCAACCGCUACUGAUGGUUCGUUUGUUCAACGAUUAAAACCCUACGUGAUCUGAGUUCAGACCGGAGUAAUCCAGGUCGGCUUCUAUCUAUUAAGCGUUGCUCAUAGUACGAAAGGACCAGAGCAACAUGGCCAAUGCUGCACUAAGCCAUCGUCUUUAUCAAUGAUACCAACUCAAUUGAUUUUUGACCUAUUCAACAGUUAAAGACAGAUAACUAG